rnacentral:lncRNA from 1 species
GCUGCCAUCCUACUGAGGAAAAAGACAUCAUUCUAAUGUACUGUAAUAAAUUCUGAUCAUGAAAUCAGCCCAUUAGGAAGCACCUCUUGGAGAUCAUGGAUAACAUGCUAGGAAAAUGCAUCCUUUUUUAGUGGGCUUAUCAAAAAUAGUGAUGACGUACAUCUUGCCAAACCUAUUGCAACCUCCCCUUAGCACUGUAGUGCCAAAUUGUCAUAGUGAGGAAAACAUAUAUGUGUGCACAAAGAAGAGGUCUUAUGAGCAUAUGAAGAGAUAGCAACCACCCACAAGCCAAGAAAACAGCUCUCAGAAGGAAACCUACUUUGCUAGAACUCUGAUCCUGGAUGUCCCACCCUCCGGAACUGAGGCUGUUUAAGCCAUGCAGUCUAUAAUAUUUUGUUAGGGAAGCCUGAGCUGAAUAAUAUAGGAGUGAGACUCGGAAUAGAAAAGGGCUCUGCCACAAAUCCAAACUGCUGAGCAAGUGGCUUUGCUAAUUGACCCAUACUGACAUUAGUGGUAUACAUUAAGGAACCUGUGAAAUCGGAAUAUAAGUUAUGGGAAAAGACGUCAUAUGUAGAAUCACAAUAAAGACUUGUAG